rnacentral:rRNA from 10 species
UUAAAUUGAAGAGUUUGAUCAUGGCUCAGAUUGAACGCUGGCGGCAGGCCUAACACAUGCAAGUCGAACGGUAACAGGAAGCAGCUUGCUGCUUUGCUGACGAGUGGCGGACGGGUGAGUAAUGUCUGGGAAACUGCCUGAUGGAGGGGGAUAACUACUG